CGUAGGUGGCAAGCGUUGUCCGGAUUUAUUGGGUUUAAAGGGUGCGUAGGCGGCUUUGUAAGUCAGUGGUGAAAUAUGGCAGCUCAACUGUCAGGGUGCCAUUGAUACUGCGGAGCUUGAGUACAGAUGAGGUAGGCGGAAUUGACGGUGUAGCGGUGAAAUGCUUAGAUAUCGUCAAGAACACCGAUAGCGAAGGCAGCUUACUGGGCUGUAACUGACGCUGAGGCACGAAAGUGUGGGGGAUCAAACAGGAUUAGAUACCCUGGUAGUCCACACUGUAAACGUUGAUGACUCGCUGUUGGCGAUACACGGCCAGCGGCAGAGAGAAAUCGUUAAGUCAUCCACCUGGGGAGUACGCCGGCAACGGUG
rnacentral:rRNA from 1 species